rnacentral:rRNA from 1 species
GGCGGCGUGGUUUACACAUGCAGUCGAACGAUGGAUCCCCGGUAUACGGCCGGGGAUUAGUGGCGAACGGGUGAGUAACACGUGGGCAAUCUGCCCUGCACUCUGGGACAAGCCCUGGAAACGGGGUCUAAUACCGGAUAUGACACGCUCCCGCAUGGGAUGCGUGUGGAAAGCUCCGGCGGUGCAGGAUGAGCCCGCGGCCUAUCAGCUUGUUGGUGGGGUGAUGGCCUACCAAGGCGACGACGGGUAGCCGGCCUGAGAGGGCGACCGGCCACACUGGGACUGAGACACGGCCCAGACUCCUACGGGAGGCAGCAGUGGGGAAUAUUGCACAAUGGGCGAAAGCCUGAUGCAGCGACGCCGCGUGAGGGAUGACGGCCUUCGGGUUGUAAACCUCUUUCAGCAGGGAAGAAGCGAGAGUGACGGUACCUGCAGAAGAAGCGCCGGCUAACUACGUGCCAGCAGCCGCGGUAAUACGUAGGGCGCAAGCGUUGUCCGGAAUUAUUGGGCGUAAAGAGCUCGUAGGCGGCUUGUCGCGUCGGAUGUGAAAGCCCGGAGCUUAACUCCGGGUCUGCAUUCGAUACGGGCAGGCUAGAGUUCGGUAGGGGAGAUCGGAAUUCCUGGUGUAGCGGUGAAAUGCGCAGAUAUCAGGAGGAACACCGGUGGCGAAGGCGGAUCUCUGGGCCGAUACUGACGCUGAGGAGCGAAAGCGUGGGGAGCGAACAGGAUUAGAUACCCUGGUAGUCCACGCCGUAAACGUUGGGAACUAGGUGUGGGCGACAUUCCACGUUGUCCGCGCCGCAGCUAACGCAUUAAGUUCCCCGCCUGGGGAGUACGGCCGCAAGGCUAAAACUCAAAGGAAUUGACGGGGGCCCGCACAAGCGGCGGAGCAUGUGGCUUAAUUCGACGCAACGCGAAGAACCUUACCAAGGCUUGACAUACACCGGAAACCUCUGGAGACAGGGGCCCCCUUGUGGUCGGUGUACAGGUGGUGCAUGGCUUGUCGUCAGCUCGUGUCGUGAGAUGUUGGGUUAAGUC